UAUUUUUUGCUUGUUCCAAAGUACUUUCUGUAUAUAUGAUUGCACUGCCUAAGUGUUGUUCUCUCUUUGCAUAUGAGAAAACGAAAGCUUAGAGAGGUCAACUGACUUUCCCAAGGUCAUUUGCUGAUAAUAGAAUCAAAGGACAAGAGGCCAGGCUCUCUUGUGCUGAGCCCUGGCCUGGCUCCCCACUGCCUUGGGGUGGUGGGGUAGGGCCUAGUGGGGAGGUGAUGCUGAAGGUGGUGUGGGUGAUGGAUGGCAGUGCCGCAGGGCUCUUCUUUAAGGAGGCCCACCCCUGCCUUUCACUUCCUGCUCCAGCUCCACAUGCCCUGUCAUUUAAGCCUCAGCACUUUGAGAGGCCUCGAAGGCCGACCCCGUGACUCCCCCAGAAAUGCCUGUGCUUCCUUCCCUGUCAUCUCAAUGCAGAGAGCGCUCACCUCAGCAAGUUCAGACUGUGCAGGCUCGGGAGGACCUUCCGCUCAGCCAGGAGCAUGGCUGGUUUGUCUCUGGAUCCUCAGCACGCAGCGGGCAGCCCAGAGCUGGGCAGGGCGUUGCUGCUCCAUGCGCUCUGCACUGACUUGAUGACGUAGAGAGAGAGAAGGCCGCCUGUUUCCCAGGUGGAGAAACUGCAUGGGGAGAACAUUUUUUUCUUAGACACCUGGGGAAUGAAGCGUUAACUAAGGUGAUACAACUUGGAGUCCGGGAAAGGGGAUUUGGGCAGAGGCUGUGGAGGGGCCUGUGGGGUGGAGAAGGCUGCAAUGAUCCCAGGUCCCCAGGAAAGAGUGGAUCCACCUGUGUGCAGACUUUCCCCACCCUAGGAAAACAGGAUGCAGGCCUUACCUCCUGUCUUUGAGCCAAAAGGAGGGAGAGCCACCACCUGAGUGUCCCAUAUGAGACUGCUUUGCCCCAGGAAGGGGGAAAAUCCUAUGUCACUGCCAAGAAGGUCCAGCUAGCUUCAGUAGAGAAAUCAUGACAUCCAGUGGACAUAUGUGUCAUCCCCAGGCUCAGGCAAUGGCCUCCAGCCAGGAGGCCUUCUAGGGCUGGGCCAACAAGGCACUGUGGAGUGAGCGCUGGGAGGCUGAGUCUGAAUCCUGAUUUUGCCUCUUAGCUACGUGACUUGGGUAAGUCUCUUCCCCUCGCUGGGGCUCUGUUUCCUCCACUGAAGUGGAGAGUGUCUAAAAGCAUGUUUGUGAACUGUGAUGCAAAUAGGUUCUCCCAUGAUCAGAAGCUGUGUUUCUUGCUAGGAGUAGUUUCAAGGCAGUGCUACCUGGGGCCAGUCAACCACUCAGCAGCAGGGCCGGGUCUGCCCCAGGUCUGUGUAGUGUCAACGUCCUCACUCUUGGCCACUCUGUGAUCCUCAUGCGCACACGCUCGGGUUUCAUGAUAAUCCGAGUGAUGGUUCUCCGUAAUAAAAGCAAUGGGUCCUGCCUGGAUUCAAACACCAGUUCUCCCAUCUGCUGGCUGGGCAACCUUGGGCAAGUCCUCUAGCCUCUCCAGGCCUCAGUUGCUCCACCCAUCUGUAAAAUAGGUUGACAACAGCUGCCUCUCAGGAUGCUGGUGGUGAUUAGCGAUCACGCAGUAUAGGUAGGGUCUGGUACAGAAUUCAUGUUCGACAAGUGGGAGCUGCCGUUAUUGGCUGUCGUUUAGUUAUUUUUAUGAAUGAGGCAAUAGAGGUGCUUGUCUGACCAGCAUCCGCUGACCUCUCUUCAAGUAACUGCCCCGUUUGCCUCUAAAGAACCAUUCCUCUCCUGUUCCCCACCAAAUGGUUCCGUUGGUGUUGGCUCCUCCCCAGGCUCCAGGGACAGGCGUGUGAACCCGGCACAGCUAAUGAGAAUAGCGUAGUAUCCCAGGCCAAUGGGAAUC
rnacentral:lncRNA from 1 species